rnacentral:rRNA from 1 species
ACCGCGUGAGGGAUGACGGCCUAUGGGUUGUAAACCUCUUUUUUCAGGGAGGAAUCAAUGACGUGUACCUGAAGAAUAAGCAUCGGCUAACUCCGUGCCAGCAGCCGCGGUAAGACGGAGGAUGCAAGUGUUAUCCGGAAUCACUGGGCGUAAAGCGUCUGUAGGUGGUUUAAUAAGUCAACUGUUAAAUCUUGAGGCUCAACCUCAAAAUCGCAGUCGAAACUAUUAGACUAGAGUAUAGUAGGGGUAAAGGGAAUUUCCAGUGGAGCGGUGAAAUGCGUAGAKAUUGGAAAGAACACCGAUG